rnacentral:rRNA from 1 species
AAUGAACGCUGGCGGUAGGCCUAACUCAUGCAAGUCGAACGGGAGCACAGUAAGAUCUUGCUCUAACUGGUUGCGAGUGGCGGGCGGGUGAGGAAUAGAUCGGAAUCUACCAUUUCGUGGGGGAUAACGUAGGGAAACUUACGCUAAUACCCCAUACGCCCUACGGGUGAAAGCAGGGGAUCUUCGCACCUUGCGCGGAGGAUUGAGAUGAUUAGGGAUUGGAGAGUUGGCGGGGUAAAGGCCCACCACGGCGACGGUCCGUAGGUGAUCUGAGACGAUGAUCAGGCACUCUGGAAGUGAGACACGCUCCAGAGUCCUACGUGAGGCAGCAGUGGGGAAUAUUGGACAAUGGGCGCAAACCUGAUCCAGCCAUACCGCGUGGGUGAGGAAGGGCUACGGCUUGUAAAGCCCUUUUGUUGGGAAAGAAAAGCAACAGGUUAAUACGCCGCUGUUCUGACGGUACCCAAAGGAUAAGCCCCGGCUAACUUCGUG